rnacentral:rRNA from 1 species
UGAAUUGAAGUGCUUGCACUGAUUUUUAGCAUUGGAUGAGUGGCGAACUGGUGAGUAACACGUGGGUAACCUGCCCGGAAGCAGGGGAUAACACUUGGAAACAGGUGCUAAUACCGUAUAACAACUGAAACCGCAUGGUUUCAGUUUGAAAGAUGGUUUCGGCUAUCACUUCUGGAUGGACCCGCGGCGUAUUAGCUAGUUGGUGGAGUAAUGGUUCACCAAGGCAAUGAUACGUAGCCGACCUGAGAGGGUAAUCGGCCACAUUGGGACUGAGACACGGCCCAAACUCCUACGGGAGGCAGCAGUAGGGAAUCUUCCACAAUGGACGAAAGUCUGAUGGAGCAACGCCGCGUGAGUGAAGAAGGGUUUCGGCUCGUAAAACUCUGUUGUUGAAGAAGAACACAUCUGAGAGUAACUGUUCAGGUGUUGACGGUAUUUAACCAGAAAGCCACGGCUAACUACGUGCCAGCAGCCGCGGUAAUACGUAGGUAGCAAGCGUUGUCCGGAUUUAUUGGGCGUAAAGCGAGCGCAGGCGGUUUCUUAAGUCUGAUGUGAAAGCCUUCGGCUUAACCGGAGAAGUGCAUCGGAAACUGGGAGGCUUGAGUGCAGAAGAGGACAGUGGAACUCCAUGUGUAGCGGUGAAAUGCGUAGAUAUAUGGAAGAACACCAGUGGCGAAGGCGGCUGUCUGGUCUGUAACUGACGCUGAGGCUCGAAAGCAUGGGUAGCGAACAGGAUUAGAUACCCUGGUAGUCCAUGCCGUAAACGAUGAAUACUAGGUGUUUGGAGGGUUUCCGCCCUUCAGUGCCGCAGCUAACGCAUUAAGUA